rnacentral:rRNA from 1 species
AGCGAACGCUGGCGGCAGGCCUAACACAUGCAAGUCGAACGGAUCCUUCGGGAUUAGUGGCGGACGGGUGAGUAACACGUGGGAACGUGCCCUUUGGUUCGGAACAACUCAGGGAAACUUGAGCUAAUACCGGAUGUGCCCUUCGGGGGAAAGAUUUAUCGCCAUUGGAGCGGCCCGCGUCUGAUUAGCUAGUUGGUGAGGUAACGGCCCACCAAGGCGACGAUCAGUAGCUGGUCUGAGAGGAUGAUGAGCCACACUGGGACUGAGACACGGCCCAGACUCCUACGGGAGGCAGCAGUGGGGAAUCUUGCGCAAUGGGCGAAAGCCUGACGCAGCCAUGCCGCGUGAAUGAUGAAGGUCUUAGGAUUGUAAAAUUCUUUCAGCGGGGACGAUAAUGACGGUACCCGCAGAAGAAGCUCCGGCUAACUUCGUG